rnacentral:lncRNA from 1 species
CGCCGCCGCCGCCACAUGGUGCGGCCGGACGCAGCCUUGCGGCUCGGCCUCUCGCGUUGCCCUGCUUCCCGCCCGGAGCCGGCACCACGGCGGGACCGGGAACCAGGGUCUGGGGCGGGAAAAAGAACAGCAAGAAGCAAUUGAACAUAUUGAUGAAGUACAAAAUGAAAUAGACAGGCUUAAUGAACAAGCCAGUGAGGAAAUUUUGAAAGUAGAACAAAAAUAUAACAAACUCCGCCAACCAUUUUUUCAGAAGAGGUCAGAAUUGAUCGCCAAAAUCCCAAAUUUUUGGGUAACAACAUUUGUCAACCAUCCACAAGUGUCUGCACUGCUUGGGGAGGAAGACGAGGAGGCCCUGC